rnacentral:lncRNA from 1 species
UAACACUCAGGUGCAGUUUGGGGACUUGUAUGAGGAGCCUCAGAAACGCUUGCAAGACCAAGAUCAAAGUUACUGCUGAAUCCAAAAUUCUAGAAUAUCUACAAGGAUUUUGGAAAAGUACCACGGUCUCAAGAUUCAUCCACAUUCCUACAAAAUGGAUGCAGUCUCUCUAUGUUGCCCAGACUGGCCUCGAUCUCAUGACCUUCCUGCCUCAGCCUUCAUGGGAGCUGGGGUUACAGGUUAAGAAAGUCAGAAGUCUAAAGUGAGUCUUCAGGGCUGCAUUCCUUCUGGAGGCUCUAGGGGAGAAUCCAGCCACCUUCUGGAGACUGCCUGCAUUCCUUGGCUCCUGGUCCCUUCUCUCAUCCUCAAAUCCAACAGCACAGCA